GCAGUGGUGGUUCAGUGGUAAAAUUCAUGCCUUCCACGCAGGAGACCUGGGUUUGAAUCCUGCCUUGGCA
rnacentral:tRNA from 1 species